AACAAUGGAAAGUACCUUCUCCACGGAAACUUUAUUUUUCUGUAAGUAAUUUUCAAGUGGAACAAGAAGCUCCUCGUCUGAUAUGUAGAAAGAGUACGGCAACUUCUCUUCAUUGCGGAGAAGCUCAUUGACGAUUUGUUGAAGCUGUUGAGGACCGGCAUCCUGUGGAAGAUACAAGGGAGCUUCCAAUGCCGUCCCUUCCCGGUCGGUGAAUUCGCACAUCACGAUAUUCAUUGUUUCCAUAUGCAUUUUUUUAAUUGCUCUGAAAUUGAGGACCUAUAAGUGUAUAUUUAUA
rnacentral:misc_RNA from 1 species